rnacentral:rRNA from 1 species
UACGUAGGUGGCAAGCGUUAUCCGGAAUUAUUGGGCGUAAAGAGCGCGCAGGUGGUUGAUUAAGUCUGAUGUGAAAGCCCACGGCUUAACCGUGGAGGGUCAUUGGAAACUGGUCGACUUGAGUGCAGAAGAGGGAAGUGGAACUUUGAGUGUAGCGGUGAAAUGCGUAGAGAUUCAAAGGAACACCAGUAGCGAAGGCGGCUUUCUGGACCAUAACUGACGCUCAUGCGCGAGAGCUGGGUUAGCGAACCGGAUUAGAUACCCUGGUAGU